rnacentral:rRNA from 1 species
GUAGGGAAUAUUGGGCAAUGGAGGCAACUCUGACCCAGCCAUGCCGCGUGCAGGAUGACGGCCCUCUGGGUUGUAAACUGCUUUUAUACGGGAAGAAAAAAUACUACGUGUAGUAUACUGACGGUACCGUAAGAAUAAGGAUCGGCUAACUCCGUGCCAGCAGCCGCGGUAAUACGGAGGAUCCAAGCGUUGUCCGGAGUUAUUGGGUUUAAAGGGUGCGUAGGCGGAUCUUUAAGUCAGUGGUGAAAGCCUGCAGCUUAACUGUAGAAUUGCCAUUGAAACUGAAGAUCUUGAAUGUGGUUAAAGUAGGCGGAAUGUAUCAUGUAGCGGUGAAAUGCUUAGAUAUGAUACAGAACACCGAUAGCGAAGGCAGCUUGCUGAACCAUUAUUGACGCUGAGGCACGAAAGCGUGGGGAGCGAACAGGAUUAGAAACCCUGGUAGUCC